rnacentral:rRNA from 1 species
UCCUGGCUCAGGAUCAACGCUGGCGGCGUGCAUGAGACAUGCAAGUCGAACGGACAGUCGAGGCUUGCCUUGACUGUUAGUGGCGGACGGCUGAGUAACGCGCAGGUGACCUGCCCCGAAGUGGGGAAUAACUGCCCGAAAGGGUGGCUAAUACCGCAUGUGCCGGUACGUUCAUUCGUACCAGCAAAGCCGCAAGGCGCUUCGGGAGGGGCCUGCGUCCGAUUAGCUCGUUGGUGGGGUAACGGCUCACCAAGGCGACGAUCGGUAGGUGGUCUGAGAGGACGAUCACCCAGACUGGGACUGAGACACGGCCCAGACUCCUACGGGAGGCAGCAGUCGGGAAUUUUGCUCAAUGGGCGAAAGCCUGAAGCAGCAACGCCGCGUGAGGGAUGAAGGCCUUCGGGUUGUAAACCUCUUUUCUCAGGGACGAUAAUGACGGUACCUGAGGAAUAGCCA